CAUCUAUCUUCUUUGUGUUUUUUCCAUUCGCGUUGAUGUUUCAACUAUUAUGAAAUUCCAUUCACUAUUUUGAAUGAAUUUCAAAACUCUGAGGCUACCAAUUUUUUUAAAAAAAUCAUUUCUUAUCCUUUCCAUGCUAAUUAUUAAUGGCUUUACUCAUUCGCUGUUCAUUUCGGGUCCUAUUGGUCGUUAUAGAAGGUAUGUAUACGAAAUAUUCUUUCCAUUCUUUUCUUCCAUAUCGUGUGUUAUGUACAAAUCUUGACAAUGUUGUUUAUCUUAUGCAGGACGUCUUCAUUCACGAGCAUACUCUUCUAAAAGUAUGACAACCUCGUCACAUGCCUCGAAGCAUGUAUGGACUAAGAAGGAGGAGGACACUCUUGUGGAGUGUUUAGUGGAUUUGGUGUCCAUGGGGGGAUGGAAAUCUGACAAUGGUAGGUUUCGACCAAGUUACCUUGUCCAAAUGGUACGCAUUACAUAAUUUGUUCGAUGAUGCAAAAUGCAUAAUAACGGAGAAGAAACUAUUCGAUAACUGGCGAAGGGACUCCUUAACAAACCAUUUUCCUAUUACGAUGAACUUGCAUAUGUAUUCGGCCAUGAAAGGGCGACGGGUCGCUUCGCUAAGACAUUCACCGACAUGGGGUCUAACAAGCCUGCCAGGUAUGAUGGGUUUGACAUGUCCAAUGGAAACGAGGAGUUCCCAUCAGUCUACAUCCAGGGGAUUCACAUGUCUCAAGAGAAUAAUGUAUGUGCAUCACGACCUUCUCGCACGUAUGAGGGUAGGGCCGGAUCGAGCGGAUUGAAGAGGAAGAGGAGAAGCCAGCAAUGCCAAGAUUGAAGUCAUACAUAUGGCGCUAGAGUGUACGAACGAGCAACUCAGGACGGUUGCGGAGUGGCCUGACGUGCCCUUGCCAAUAACAACCAUGUGUGCCAGGAAUUCUUUCGUAUAUUAUGUGAGAUGCCGGAACUAACCAGUUUGGAUAGGGCAUUGUUGCAAAGACAUCUCUUGUCUCGUAUGGACGACAUGCGAGGUCUCGUACAGAUGCCUAAUGAUGAGAGGGAGAGCUUUUGCAGAGUCCUCCUACGCGACAUCUUUAGAUAGUUUAUGUCCUUACUUCGCUGUCUUGCUUAUUAUUUUGUUACUUCAUUUGCGCUAUGUUGUUGGUUUAUUUUCUUUCCUAUUGUAAAACACG